rnacentral:rRNA from 1 species
GACGAACGCUGGCGGCGUGCCUAAUACAUGCAAGUAGAACGCUGAAGGAGGAGCUUGCUUCUCUGGAUGAGUUGCGAACGGGUGAGUAACGCGUAGGUAACCUGCCUGGUAGCGGGGGAUAACUAUUGGAAACGAUAGCUAAUACCGCAUAAGAGUAGAUGUUGCAUGACAUUUGCUUAAAAGGUGCAAUUGCAUCACUACCAGAUGGACCUGCGUUGUAUUAGCUAGUUGGUGGGGUAACGGCUCACCAAGGCGACGAUACAUAGCCGACCUGAGAGGGGGAUUGGCCACACUGGGACUGAGACACGGCCCAGACCCCUAGGGGAGGAAGCAGUAGGGAAUCUGCGGCAAGGGACGGAAGUCUGACCGAGCAACGCCGCGGGAGUGAAGAAGGUUUUCGGAUCGUAAAGCUCUGUUGUAAGAGAAGAACGAGUGUGAGAGUGGAAAGUUCACACUGUGACGGUAUCUUACCAGAAAGGGACGGCUAACUACG